rnacentral:tRNA from 1 species
AUGAUGAUGUAUUAGUAGCUCAGCUUUCAGAGCGCCGGUUUUGUAAUCCGGACGUCGAAGGUUAAAAUCCUUCCUAUUACU